rnacentral:lncRNA from 1 species
GCACUCGGGCGACAGGUUGUCAGGGCUGUCAGCCUGUCUAAGCAGAGGAAAACGGAGCAGGCAGAGCCGGCCUGAUCUCGGAAUAAAGGCUGCAUGCGACAAACACUGAGGGACCCUAAAAGUCUCGACCAUAGGGCCUCUUCUGGCCAUCUCCGUGGUCGUGUCCCGCUGGAGGAGGAGGCGAUUAGAGACUGUGAGGUGGGUACUGGAAACUCCUCUUCUGAUUCCGUUGCCAAAAGAGGCUGUGUGCAGGAGUUGGGUCCCAUGGGGCUGGGAAUACAGUCUUGUGAGUUGUUGAGGGGUCUCUGGGAGAUAGAAUCCUAGUUAAAACUACAGAGGAUGGUGUCAGUGGAAGAUUGCAGGACCCUUGAGCUCACUGCCUCCCUUCAUCGUGGGCCUCCUAGGGGCUCCUGUUUCUCAGCACGGCUCUCUGGGAAAGGCAGAACCAUGUCAAAGGCAAGUCCAAGGUGGAGCAGAGGUCUCACACCUGAAACUGGAAAACCAUGGGGGCAGAUGAGGUUUAGAGGCCGUCUGGGGAUUACUGCAAGCCUGAAAAGGGUGUCCUGGAGUGCUGUUGAGGGGCGCUGUGGAUCCCCCAUGAAAGCAAAGAAAAAUCAAGUCU